rnacentral:rRNA from 1 species
UACAGAGGUCUCAAGCGUUGUUCGGAUUCAUUGGGCGUAAAGGGUGCGUAGGCGGCGCGGUAAGUCGGGUGUGAAAUCUCCGGGCUUAACCCGGAGCGGCCAAGUGAUACUGUCGUGCUAGAGUGCGGAAGGGGCUACUGGAAUUCUCGGUGUAGCGGUGAAAUGCGUAGAUAUCGAGAGGAACACCUGCGGCGAAGGCGGGUAGCUGGGCCGACACUGACGCUGAUGCGCGAAAGCCAGGGGAGCGAACGGG